CUAUACGCAGGGGCUGUUUGGGUGGAGAAUGGGAAGCAGAUGGAAGAAGUUUUGCCAUUGAACUGGAUCGACACAGAGACCAAAGUGUAAACCGACAGGAGUGUGAAAAAUAUAAUUACACCUCAGCUCAAACCGAAGAGGAGGACACAGUCAGUCAAAAGAGAAUGAAGAAAAUAAGGACAUUUGAAGAUUAUGUUCAAGAGGAUACAGUCUUGCUUCCGGUUCCUCCGCCAAAGAUUAAGCUCUCACAUAGGGGACAAAAUGCAAGGCUGCUCGAGUUACCUGCACCCCCAGAACUGGCUAACACCGCCAUUAGACAACCAGCGAGUCCUGCAUCUUCAGACAUUUCUGGAUGUUCUCGUCCAACGCCUCACCGUUCACCCACAAGGUCUGAAUCAACAGAAGCAUUUAGUCCAGAGUCUGCCAGAUCUAUGGAUCUUGCACACCUCAGCGUGGAGUUUGAAAGCCAUCACAGUCCGGGAGCAGAAAGAGUCGGGCAUCCUCAUCCAGUGUCCCAGCUCUCAAAGGUGGGAGGGAGAAACCAUAAAGACUGCGUCCAUAAAGUGAUGGAGAGG